AUGAUUUCAGGACCUGGAAUCAUACCAGCCGAUGGGUGGUGGUUUAUCGCUCGUUCAGCUGCCGGCGGUCAUUUGAUGCUCAUUCGCACGUACCAAAUUGACCAAACCAUUACAUCAAACCACAUGCAGUACAAUGCGUGGGGCGUUCAUGACAUUGAUGGCUAUGGUUGCUUCGUGUUCGAGAAAGAUCCCAGCUCCGUUGGGCCAAGCGUAUUCAACUGGAGGCGGCCGGCUGGCGUCAAGUUUGAUCCCACGGAUCAGGAGCUGACCGAGCACCUCGAGGCCAAAGUGAGUGCUGACAGCGCGAGAUCUCACCCUCUCAUCGAUUUGUUCAUACCAACCAUCGACAACGAGCAUGGUAUAUGCUACACCCAACCUGAGAAACUUCCAGGGCAUUCAAAAUUGGGCACGUGGACGCGUCGCAAGAUACAGUCAGAGUGCGGCAUGCACGCGAUGUGGCACAAGACCGGCAAUACCUUGCCGGUGAUGGUCAACGGCCGGCAGACGGGCAGCACAAAGGUUCUAGUGUUGCACACCAAUAAGAACUUUGACCAGCAGAGGACCAACUGGGUGAUGCACCAGUACCACCUCGGGGACCUGGAGCAAGAGAAGGAGCGGGGGCUGGUCCUCUGCAAGAUUUUGUACCAGACGAACACUAGGGCCAGGAGUAAAAAGAUCAUAAGUUAG
rnacentral:rRNA from 1 species